GGCUGAGUCGAGCUACAUAAGGAACUCCCACUGAAGGAAAGGCGAUAAUUUCUGUUUCUUUCAACAGUUGCCUGUGCUGCAGACUAUUAAGCAGAAUUAGUGAAACCAAGAAAGAUCUGCUACUGCCCUUACUGACACGUUGCCUACUACAGCUUCUGCCCCAG